CUGUUUCCAGGGUGUGAGCCUAUUUAGCUUAUAAUAGGACACAGUGUAAAUACCAUGCCCCCAAUUCCAAAGCUCAGCAAAAGCAAAACAGCUGUCUAAUAGGCAUUUUUACAAGAUGAAUGAACAGCUCAUAUUGUUAUAGAAAGGCCAAUUUUAUGAAACCACACUUGGAAAAGCCAUGACUAUUCUCUUUUUGCUGGGCAAAGAAGAAAAAAAGCAUAAGAUGUAGACAGUAGUACCUCCUAGAAUGUCUCUGGUAAUAGAUGCUUCUUUGUAAGAGACCCUGCCCUGUAUUCAGUGAUUACAUAAACAUGGAAGGGAGGGUUUAGUAAAGAAAAAGGAUAAGAUGCUUGAAAUACUUACUGUGAUUUUUAUUAAAUAAAACAAAACAAAAACAAUUAUUAUAUAAUGCAGUAACUACAGAUGGAUGUUCUUCACUCACUGCAGUCAUCCAUUUGCAUGUAAGAAGAGGAGGAUUUGAUUCAGAAAUGAGUUGCCCCUUCUCACCACUGUUCCUUCCUUCCCAGAUACCCAAGAUUUUCACACUCCAGUCAUUAGAUGUGCUAACUUGGAAGUUGUGGCUCAAAGGCAACUCAAUCCACAUUGGAACAAGGCUUCCUGAGACACGGUGUAAUUUGGUGGCGAGAUGGAUUCAACGUUACUCCCAUGACCUGUCCCAUUUUCUCCUCCUCCCUUGUGUGCUAGUUUCAUCUUAGAGCAUCCGAAUUCCUCAUGAAUAUGUAACCUCAGGCCACCUACUUCUUCGAUUGACAUCUCCUGAGGGAGGAGGACUCUCUGUGGAUGGACUUUGGAGGGGCCAUAAUCUCUCAGAACAGUUUGUAAAAUUGGAAGCACGUGUGCAUUGUCCUGGGGAAAUGGCCCAGGGUUUUGCUAAUCCUCAAAACUAUAACUUAGAAAAAUUAAGAACUCUUGCUUAGAUAGAGAGUUAACCACUGGUUUGACACCAAGUUCAGGGUCCUCGUUUUGUGUGUUGAGUUAUUUUUGCCCACAUCUCUCAAGUCAUUUAGAGUGC
rnacentral:lncRNA from 1 species